CAGGUCGAGGAGUUCUACGUCAUCACCUGGACCUCCCCCAAGGAGCAGGUGUUCGAGAUGCCCACCGGCGGCGCCGCCAUCAUGCGCGAGGGCCCCAACCUCCUCAAGCUCGCCCGCAAGGAGCAGUGCCUCGCCCUCGGCAACCGCCUCCGCUCCAAGUACAAGAUCGCCUACCAGUUCUACCGCGUCUUCCCCAACGGCGAGGUGCAGUACCUCCACCCCAAGGACGGCGUCUACCCGGAGAAGGUCAACGCCGGCAGGCAGGGCGUGGGGCAGAACUUCCGCAGCAUCGGCAAGAACGUCAGCCCCAUCGAGGUCAAGUUCACCGGCAAGAACUCCUUCGACAUCUAAUCUCGUACGUCGUAUAUGCGUACGUGCUAGUUCAUCGACCGGUAGUUAUUGGCGGGUGGCGAUGAUGAUGGACGUCCUGUAAUUUUAAUUGUCGAGUUUGAAUGCUGGAUUCGAUCGGUGAUAAUGAUGCAUCAGGUUAUAUGUACAUGGUAAUUUGAUGACGAUACUGCUGUAUGUUAACGUUGUUCAUAUGCAUGAUCGGCUUCUUUUCAUGUUGAUGAUGAGUGGUAUUUUGUUUGUUACAC
rnacentral:lncRNA from 1 species